AUCACACAGUUGGAGGUAUACUAGAUAGAGCCAUUGAAGCAGAGGACAAAAAACAUGGAGAUUUAUUGAGGCUGGAUCAUGUUGAGGGCUACCUUGAACUGUCUGCGAAGACAAAGUCAUAUUUUGCUGCUACUGUUGCUUCAUGGGAUGCAGAUUUUUAUGUGAAAGUUGAUGAUGAUGUUCAUGUAAAUAUAGUAACACUAGGAGAAACUUUGGCAAGAUACAGGAAAAAGCCACGGGUGUAUAUCGGAUGUAUGAAACUGGUCCUAUCCUUGCUCAGAAG